rnacentral:rRNA from 1 species
UACACUUCUGCGGGAGACAGCAGUGGGGAAUAUUGGACAAUGGGCGCAAGCCUGAUCCAGCCAUGCCGCGUGAGUGAUGAAGGCCCUAGGGUUGUAAAGCUCUUUCACCGGUGAAGAUAAUGACGGUAACCGGAGAAGAAGCCCCGGCUAACUUCGUGCCAGCAGCCGCGGUAAUACGAAGGGGGCUAGCGUUGUUCGGAUUUACUGGGCGUAAAGCGCACGUAGGCGGACUAUUAAGUCAGGGGUGAAAUCCCGGGGCUCAACCCCGGAACUGCCUUUGAUACUGGUAGUCUUGAGUUCGAGAGAGGUGAGUGGAAUUCCGAGUGUAGAGGUGAAAUUCGUAGAUAUUCGGAGGAACACCAGUGGCGAAGGCGGCUCACUGGCUCGAUACUGACGCUGAGGUGCGAAAGCGUGGGGAGCAAACAGGAUUAGAAACACCAGUAGUCCCAUGA